GCCAGUGUACACAGCUACUGCUGCUGGAUGAUCACUUGUUCAUGUUGUUUAACUUGCUGCUGGUGCUCUGGGGCUGCUUGAUCGUUGGUUGGAGUGGAGUUCCGUGACUCCUGUUACUUAUUUGUAUAGAUGCGACUAAGUGCACGGCCGGCAGAGGAACGUGGUGAGGUGGUGUGGUGGUGGUGUGACGACUGGCGCGGCGGCAGCGGCGCGGUGGAGCAGAGCGAAGAUCGAGGUGAAUGGUGGUACUGCUGUUAUAGGUAGUAAUGGUGAUACUGGUGAUGGUGGUGGUUGACGAGGAGCAAACAUUGAGAGUACCUCUCUACCUACUACUUCAUCCAGUUCUUCAGCAUUGUGAAAGAUUUAUAAAUUCGAGAUUCAAUAUAGAGUUGCUGGUUAGGAGCAUCAGCAUCAGCAUCAUCAUCAUAAGAGAUACAACACACAUAUCGGAGCUACUCAGGCUUUUUUUUUUAUGUAUGUAGGUAUUUGUGUAUAAAAGCAAAUACCAACUAAUUAAAAAAAAUAUACUCGGGUUCAAACUUAACUGACCACUUCAGAUAUUUUUCAGAGCUGCUUUAAGACGUUGAAAGCUGAAGAAGAAAUACUUAUUAUAUUUUAGACCUUUGAGUUCCAAGUGAGCUGUCAUUGGUGCUCUUUGACUUAAGAUGAAAUGAGAUAAAUCAUGAUGAAAAUAUAUUUGGAGAAAAAAAAACAAGUAUACGCCACAGUGCUCCAUUUUUAUUUAAGGAUCAUUAUGUCACCAAAAUGGCAAAAUGUUCUAAAAUCCUUUUUGUUUGUUAAUUAAAUAAUUUCAUGAAAUCAUUUUUGAUUCAUUAGUCAAAGCUGUCGGAGGAAAAUUAUUGGAUUUUUCAAUUAAGUACUUGACCAAGCUUUAGCCAAAAAUGGUUUAUAAUAUAAUAUAAUUACUUUUAGCCUCUCCUCGUUUCUAAACUCCUCUAAGAU